rnacentral:tRNA from 1 species
AGAGUUGUAGCUCGGUGAUAGAGCACUUGCUUAGCAUGCAAAAGGCUCUGGGUUCGAUCCCCAGUACUG